rnacentral:lncRNA from 1 species
UCACACAUUUCUUAAUCUCUGUAUCCAAAAGUUAUGAGACACUACUAUUGGAACGGAGGGAGUAUGACAUUAUGGGAGCUUUUUUUUUUCUCGAAAGGAGUAAGCUACAUGCAGCCCCUACAUUAUCUCAUGUGCUUGAAAUUGACACGUAUAGUAGACCUUGCUUUUUUAUCUUCUUCUUCUUAUUUUUUUUUGUUAACUGUGAUUUGAUCGUUUAGGAGUUGCAUGUUCUUGCAUUCAAUGAAGACGAUAUGAUGAAGAAGGCUAUGAUGAUGAUGACAAAGAUGAGUAAGAGGAUGAUGAUGUACCUUCUUCAUGAUUCAAAUCCAAAGAGGUCAGUGGAAGCAAGCUUUAUUAAAGAGACUUUAGCGAAGAGUUUGCUUAAGUAAUGUAUGUUGUGGAAUUGUUUCAAUUUGUUAAAUCCUUGUGUAAUUGAAUGUUAAUAUGGUGUGUUAUUUCCUUACCGGUAUAAGGUUCUCA